AGCCUGACGCAGCGACGCCGCGUGGGGGAUGACGGCCUUCGGGUUGUAAACCUCUUCCGCCAGGGACGAAGCGCAAGUGACGGUACCUGGAUAAGAAGCACCGGCCAACUACGUGCCAGCAGCCGCGGUAACACGUAGGGUGCGAGCGUUGUCCGGAAUUAUUGGGCGUAAAGAGCUCGUAGGCGGUGUGUCGCGUCGGCCGUGAAAACCUGGGGCUUAACUCUGGGCUUGCGGUCGAUACGGGCAUCACUGGAGUUCGGCAGGGGAGACUGGAAUUCCUGGUGUAGCGGUGAAAUGCGCAGAUAUCAGGAGGAACACCGGUGGCGAAGGCGGGUCUCUGGGCCGAUACUGACGCUGAGGAGCGAAAGCGUGGGGAGCGAACAGGAUUAGAUACCCUGGUAGUCCACGCCGUAAACGUUGGGCGCUAGGUGUGGGGGCCAUUCCACGGUCUCUGUGCCGCAGCUAACGCAUUAAGCGCCCCGCCUGGGGAGUACGGCCGCAAGGCUAAAACUCAAUGAAAUUG
rnacentral:rRNA from 1 species